rnacentral:rRNA from 1 species
UACGAAGGGGGCUAGCGUUGCUCGGAAUCACUGGGCGUAAAGGGUGCGUAGGCGGGUCUUUAAGUCAGGGGUGAAAUCCUGGAGCUCAACUCCAGAACUGCCUUUGAUACUGAGGAUCUUGAGUUCGGGAGAGGUGAGUGGAACUGCGAGUGUAGAGGUGAAAUUCGUAGAUAUUCGCAAGAACACCAGUGGCGAAGGCGGCCAACUGGUCCGGCACUGACGCUGAGGUGCGAAAGCGUGGGGAGCAAACAGG